UUGGGUUUAAGGGUCCGUAGGCGGAUCUGUAAGUCAGUGGUGAAAUCUCACAGCUUAACUGUGAAACUGCCAUUGAUACUGCAGGUCUUGAGUGUUAUUGAAGUAGCUGGAAUAAGUAGUGUAGCGGUGAAAUGCAUAGAUAUUACUUAGAACACCAAUUGCGAAGGCAGGUUACUAAGCAACAACUGACGCUGAUGGACGAAAGCGUGGGGAGCGAACAGGAUUAGAUACCCUGGUAGUCCACGCCGUAAACGAUGCUAACUCGUUUUUGGGAUGUAAGUUUCAGAGACUAAGCGAAAGUGAUAAGUUAGCCACCUGGGGAGUACGAACGCAAGUUUGAAACUCAAAGGAAUUGACGGGGGCCCGCACAAGCGGUGGAUUAUGUGGUUUAAUUCGAUGAUACGCGAGGAACCUUACCAAGGCUUAAAUGGGAAAUGACAGGCUUAGAAAUAGGCUUUUCUUCGGACAUUUUUCAAGGUGCUGCAUGGUUGUCGUCAGCUCGUGCCGUGAGGUGUUAGGUUAAGUCCUGCAACGAGCGCAACCCCUGUCACUAGUUGCCAUCAUUAAGUUGGGGACUCUAGUGAGACUGCCUACGCAAGUAGAGAGGAAGGUGGGGAUGACGUCAAAUCA
rnacentral:rRNA from 1 species